rnacentral:rRNA from 1 species
UACGUAGGGGACAAGCAUUAUCCGAAUUUACUGGGUAUAAAGGGAGCGCAGACAGAAUAGCAAGUCUGAAGUGAAACCCCACAGCUCAACCGUGGGCUUGCUUUAGAAACUGUUAUUCUAGAGUACUGGAGAGGUAAGCGGAAUUCCUAGUGUAGCGGUAAAAUGCGUAGAUAUUAGGAGGAACAUCGGUGGCGAAGGCAGCUUACUGGACAACAACUGACGUUGAGGCUCGAAGGCGUGGGAAGCAAAC